GACGAACGCUGGCGGCGUGCCUAAUACAUGCCAGUCGAACGAGAGCGACCGGUGCUCGCACUGGUCAAUCUAGUGGCGAACGGGUGAGUAACACGUGGGUAACCUGCCCAUCAGAGGGGGAUAACAUCCGGAAACGGAUGCUAAAACCGCAUAGGUCUUCGAACCGCAUGGUUUGAAGAGGAAAAGAGGCGCAAGCUUCUGCUGAUGGAUGGACCCGCGGUGCAUUAGCUAGUUGGUGAGGUAACGGCUCACCAAGGCCGUGAUGCAUAGCCGACCUGAGAGGGUGAUCGGCCACAUUGGGACUGAGACACGGCCCAAACUCCUACGGGAGGCAGCAGUAGGGAAUCUUCCGCAAUGGACGCAAGUCUGACGGAGCAACGCCGCGUGAGUGAAGAAGGUUUUCGGAUCGUAAAACUCUGUUGUUAGAGAAGAACAAGUGCUAGAGUAACUGUUAGCGCCUUGACGGUAUCUAACCAGAAAGCCACGGCUAACUACGUG
rnacentral:rRNA from 1 species